AAACCAUGGUGUGGGCAUUCAGCUUGGUAGCCCUUGAAUCUCUCUCAGGCUUCACUGAAGCCUGACAAGUUCUUUUGUUGGAAACUUGAGAUCUCAUUUCUCAGCUU
rnacentral:snoRNA from 1 species